rnacentral:rRNA from 1 species
GACGAACGCUGGCGGCGUGCUUAACACAUGCAAGUCGAACGGAAAGGCCCGGCUUUUGUGGGGUGCUCGAGUGGCGAACGGGUGAGUAACACGUGUGUAACCUGCCCUUGACUUUGGGGUAACUUCAGGAAAAUGGGGCUAAUACCGGGUAGGAUCUCCUGCUGCAUGGUGGGGGUUGGAAAGUUUCGGCUGUUGGGGAUGGACUCGCGGCUUUUGAGCUUGUUGGUGGGGUAGUGGCGUACCCGGGUUUUGAAGGGGAGCCGGCCUGAUAGGGUGGUCGGCCGCCCUGGAAGGGGAACGGGCACAUGGCUACUGAGAGACGCACCAGAAGGGUACGGGAGGCAGCAGGGGGGAACAUUGCACAAUGGGGGGACGUGUGAUGCAGCAACGCCGCGUGCGUGAUACCGGGUUUCUGGGUAUAAACCGCUUUGGCAGGUGAUGAACAGGGAGUGACGGUAACGGGUAAAGAAGCAACGGCUAACUACGUG